GACGCUGAAGCUUGGAGCUUGCUCCGGGUGGAUGAGUGGCGAACGGGUGAGUAACACGUGAGUAACCUGCCCCUGACUCUGGGAUAAGCCUGGGAAACUGGGUCUAAUACUGGAUAUGACUACUGGCCGCAUGGUCUGGUGGUGGAAAGAUUUAUCGGUUGGGGAUGGACUCGCGGCCUAUCAGCUUGUUGGUGAGGUAGUGGCUCACCAAGGCGACGACGGGUAGCCGGCCUGAGAGGGUGACCGGCCACACUGGGACUGAGACACGGCCCAGACUCCUACGGGAGGCAGCAGUGGGGAAUAUUGCACAAUGGGCGCAAGCCUGAUGCAGCGACGCCGCGUGAGGGAUGACGGCCUUCGGGUUGUAAACCUCUUUCAGUUGGGAAGAAGCCUUUCGGGGUGACGGUACCUUCAGAAGAAGCGCCGGCUAACUACGUGCCAGCAGCCGCGGUAAUACGUAGGGCGCGAGCGUUAUCCGGAAUUAUUGGGCGUAAAGAGCUCGUAGGCGGUUUGUCGCGUCUGCCGUGAAAGUCCGGGGCUUAACUCCGGAUCUGCGGUGGGUACGGGCAGACUAGAGUGCAGUAGGGGAGACUGGAACUCCUGGUGUAGCGGUGAAAUGCGCAGAUAUCAGGAAGAACACCGAUGGCGAAGGCAGGUCUCUGGGCUGUAACUGACGCUGAGGAGCGAAAGCAUGGGGAGCGAACAGGAUUAGAUACCCUGGUAGUCCAUGCCGUAAACGUUGGGCACUAGGUGUGGGGGACAUUCCACGUUUUCCGCGCCGUAGCUAACGCAUUAAGUGCCCCGCCUGGGGAGUACGGCCGCAAGGC
rnacentral:rRNA from 1 species